rnacentral:rRNA from 1 species
GACGAACGCUGGCGGCGUGCCUAAUACAUGCAAGUCGAGCGAGCUGAACCAGCAGAUUCACUUCGGUGAUGACGCUGGGAACGCGAGCGGCGGAUGGGUGAGUAACACGUGGGUAACCUGCCCUAAAGUCUGGGAUACCACUUGGAAACAGGUGCUAAUACCGGAUAACAACAAUAGCUGCAUGGCUAUUGUUUAAAAGGCGGCGUAAGCUGUCGCUAAAGGAUGGACCCGCGGUGCAUUAGCUAGUUGGUAAGGUAACGGCUUACCAAGGCGACGAUGCAUAGCCGAGUUGAGAGACUGAUCGGCCACAUUGGGACUGAGACACGGCCCAAACUCCUACGGGUGGCUG